AACAAGACAAAGAAAGCUUUACUAAGUGUUAGAACAGCUCAGAGGAAACCCUUAGUGCAUAGCUCCUCUCUGUAGGCAGAUCAUCUUCUCUGUAAGCAGAUCUUCCCAUUGAGUGCUCAGCUCUCAAGCAGAGAGGAGGCCCUGGAGAGGGUAGCUCCUCUCUGCUAUUGGUCAUCAUCCUGACAUCUGCUGCUCUCACCAGAAAGGAGGCCCUCGAGAAAGUUACUUCUCUCUGCAGCUGGUAGUCCCUAUGUCUCUGCAGGUCUCUGAAGCUCUCAGAAGAGAGAGUAGUUCCUCACUGCAGCAGGCCAUCUGUCCUCUGUCAUCUGUCCUCUGCCCUGCUCUGGCUGAGCCUGGGGCUUUUUUGGACCUUAGAGGGAAGAAGUCCCUGUUGAUCAGUUCAUGGAGGGCCAUGGGCAGUCCAGAAAAGGCACCACAAGUCCCCACUCCAUUCUGCUGGUCUGGCAGCCUGGCUCCCAGCCUUCAGGCCCUCCUUGGCCUGAAGGUGGGGUCUUACUGGCAACCCACCCACUUCCACCCAGGAGCCUGCCUGCCUUCUGCUGUCCCUGUCCCCCUGGCUGCUGGCACCAAGAGGCACCUGCAGGCCAGCACUGAGCAAUCCUCAGAGCUCCCCUCUGCUUCCCCUCCUACUCUCAUUGGUACCCAAAUUCUGGAGGGGGCUGGGGCAGCAGGGCACUGGCUUGCCAGCACUGAUCCAAGUGUGUGCAGACCAUGCCAAACUGUGAUAGCACCCGGCCUUGGCUCCAACCCUGCUCUGAUAUGGGAGCCUGUGCCCGGAGCAGUGAGAAGCCAGGCAACUGGAGAAGACACCCCUGGGCUUAUGGGUACCGGGGUCGGGGGGCCUUCCCUGGCCCCUAAGGGUGUAGGUUGCAGAGACACCUAGGUCUUGUACCUGGGAAGGUGGCUGCAGCUGCACCCAGGGAGCUCCCACCCUGCCAACUCAGAAGGGGUGGGGUUCCUGCUUGUCCUUGGCUCCUGCCGGCUUGGUGGAGCAGAGGCCCAGGUCUGCACUUGUGGAUCUGGUGGUUGCACCUGCACCAGGGAGGGCAGAGAUCCUCCCUGCUCCUGGCACCUGCAAGAGCACAGGGAGGCUCUGAUCGGCAGCCACAGCUUGAGCAGCUGCAGCCUUACUCAGGAAGGCAGGACUCCUCCCUGCUCCAUGGAGCAGGAGGCCUGGGUCUGCAGCUGCAGCUGCACCCA
rnacentral:lncRNA from 1 species